GACGAACGCUGGCGGCGUGCUUAACACAUGCAAGUCGAACGGAAAGGCUCCAGCUUGCUGGCGUACUCGAGUGGCGAACGGGUGAGUAACACGUGGGUAAUCUGCCCUGCACUCUGGGAUAAGCCUGGGAAACUGGGUCUAAUACUGGAUAUGACCUUUCUCCUUAUGGGGUUUGGUGGAAAGUUUUUCGGUGUAGGAUGAGUCCGCGGCCUAUCAGCUUGUUGGUGGGGUGAUGGCCUACCAAGGCGACGACGGGUAGCCGGCCUGAGGGGGUGAUCGGCCACAUUGGGACUGAGAUACGGCCCAGACUCCUACGGGAGGCAGCAGUGGGGAAUAUUGCACAAUGGGCGGAAGCCUGAUGCAGCGACGCCGCGUGAGGGAUGACGGCCUUCGGGUUGUAAACCUCUUUCAGCAGGGACGAAGCGUAAGUGACGGUACCUGCAGAAGAAGCACCGGCUAACUAUGUG
rnacentral:rRNA from 1 species